GAUGAACGCUGGCGGCGUGCUUAACACAUGCAAGUCGAACGGGAUCCCAGGAGCUUGCUCCUGGGUGAGAGUGGCGAACGGGUGAGUAAUGCGUGACCGACCUGCCCCAUACACCGGAAUAGCUCCUGGAAACGGGUGGUAAUGCCGGAUGCUCCGACAUGACGCAUGUCGUGUCGGGAAAGAUUCUAUCGGUAUGGGAUGGGGUCGCGUCCUAUCAGCUUGAUGGCGGGGUAACGGCCCACCAUGGCUUCGACGGGUAGCCGGCCUGAGAGGGCGACCGGCCACAUUGGGACUGAGAUACGGCCCAGACUCCUACGGGAGGCAGCAGUGGGGAAUAUUGCACAAUGGGCGCAAGCCUGAUGCAGCGACGCCGCGUGCGGGAUGACGGCCUUCGGGUUGUAAACCGCUUUUGACUGGGAGCAAGCCCUUCGGGGUGAGUGUACCUUUCGAAUAAGCAC
rnacentral:rRNA from 1 species